UACAGAGGUCUCAAGCGUUGUUCGGAUUCAUUGGGCGUAAAGGGUGCGUAGGCGGCGCGGUAAGUCGGGUGUGAAAUUUCGAGGCUUAACUUCGAAACUGCAUUCGAUACUGCCGUGCUAGAGGACUGGAGAGGAGACUGGAAUUUACGGUGUAGCGGUGAAAUGCGUAGAUAUCGUAAGGAAGACCAGUGGCGAAGGCGGGGUCUCUGGACAGUUCCUGACGCUGAGGCACGAAGGCCAGGGGAGCAAACGGG
rnacentral:rRNA from 1 species